UACGAAGGGUGCAAACGUUGCUCGGAAUCAUUGGGCGUAAAGCGCACGUAGGCGGCGCAGUAAGUCGGACGUGAAAUCCCUCGGCUCAACCGAGGACGUGCAUCCGAAACUACUGUGCUCGAGUAUGGAAGAGGGUCGCGGAAUUCUCGGUGUAGAGGUGAAAUUCGUAGAUAUCGGGAGGAACACCAGUGGCGGAAGGCGGCGGACCUGGGCCAAUACUGACGCUGAGGUGGCGAAAAGCGUGGGGAGCCAAACAG
rnacentral:rRNA from 1 species